AAAAAACAGUUGAAAUGACGUCACUGCAGUCCCAGGCCAGGGUAAUCGAACCUCGAUUACAUUUAAUGCGCAUGCGUCACAGGUGAAAAAUGGCUAACCGACUGGAGGCUUCUAGCCCAGGCUCAGCAUCACAGGCACCACUGGCUACUCGGUUACUGCAGCGUUUGGAGUCAAGGAUCACUGACAUAUUAAGUCAACCUCACUUUAAUUUGGACUACUCCCAAUUCACUAUAUGAAACUGUCUGUAUAGAUACAAUAUCUGGAUCCAGCAACAAACAACUGCUCAAACACUGCCCUUUCAUUUUCCUGAAGGCAGUGGAAAACUAUGGCUGGCCUUCCAGGAUUAAGCGGCUAUGGCGAGAUGUCUGGACCUGUGUCACUCAUCUGUACUAUGACGUUCUUCAGUCUAAAAGAUGAUGGCCUGUUGGAUUUGUCAGAUGCUGUACAUCUGAUUUGUGCCCACUACAUGUUCCUUCCACGUCUGGCAGAGGCCCUUCACACCUUCAGAGGGCUGGGACAACCAUCCCUUAAAAUCUGAAGGUGGACUCUCCCCUAACCAACUCUGGGUUAUGGGUAACAUGCAGAACCCUUGUGACCCAGAUGGAGAUUUGCAGGUUUGUUGAAGCUCUCUCUCAAGGUGGUCUCUAAAGGCAAAGUGCAGCUACAAAUUUUCAACCUGAAGGUGUGGAUGUAGAUUUAUAUGAAACAAGCUGAAAUA